GAUGAACGCUGGCGGCGUGCCUAAUACAUGCAAGUCGAGCGAACGGACGAGAAGCUUGCUUCUCUGAUGUUAGCGGCGGACGAGUGAGUAACACGUGGAUAACCUACCUAUAAGACUGGGAUAACUUCGGGAAACCGGAGCUAAUACCGGAUAAUAUUUUGAACCGCAUGGUUCAAAAGUGAAAGACGGUCUUACUGUCACUUAUAGAUGGAUCCGCGCUGCAUUAGCUAGUUGGUAAGGUAACGGCUUACCAAGGCAACGAUGCAUAGCCGACCUGAGAGGGUGACCGGCCACACUGGAACUGAGACACGGUCCAGACUCCUACGGGAGGCAGCAGUAGGGAAUCUUCCGCAAUGGGCGAAAGCCUGACGGAGCAACGCCGCGUGAGUGAUGAAGGUCUUCGGAUCGUAAAACUCUGUUAUUAGGGAAGAACAUAUGUGUAAGUAACUGUGCACAUCUUGACGGUACCUAAUCAGAAAGCCACGGCUAACUACGUGCCAGCAGCCGCGGUAAUACGUAGGUGGCAAGCGUUAUCCGGAAUUAUUGGGCGUAAAGCGCGCGUAGGCGGUUUUUUAAGUCUGAUGUGAAAGCCCACGGCUCAACCGUGGAGGGUCAUUGGAAACUGGAAAACUUGAGUGCAGAAGAGGAAAGUGGAAUUCCAUGUGUAGCGGUGAAAUGCGCAGAGAUAUGGAGGAACACCAGUGGCGAAGGCGACUUUCUGGUCUGUAACUGACGCUGAUGUGCGAAAGCGUGGGGAUCAAACAGGAUUAGAUACCCUGGUAGUCCACGCCGUAAACGAUGAGUGCUAAGUGUUAGGGGGUUUCCGCCCCUUAGUGCUGCAGCUAACGCAUUAAGCACUCCGCCUGGGGAGUACGACCGCAAGGUUGAAACUCAAAGGAAUUGACGGGGACCCGCACAAGCGGUGGAGCAUGUGGUUUAAUUCGAAGCAACGCGAAGAACCUUACCAAAUCUUGACAUCCUUUGACAACUCUAGAGAUAGAGCCUUCCCCUUCGGGGGACAAAGUGACAGGUGGUGCAUGGUUGUCGUCAGCUCGUGUCGUGAGAUGUUGGGUUAAGUCCCGCAACGAGCGCAACCCUUAAGCUUAGUUGCCAUCAUUAAGUUGGGCACUCUAAGUUGACUGCCGGUGACAAACCGGAGGAAGGUGGGGAUGACGUCAAAUCAUCAUGCCCCUUAUGAUUUGGGCUACACACGUGCUACAAUGGACAAUACAAAGGGCAGCGAAACCGCGAGGUCAAGCAAAUCCCAUAAAGUCGUUCUCAGUUCGGAUUGUAGUCUGCAACUCGACUACAUGAAGCUGGAAUCGCUAGUAAUCGUAGAUCAGCAUGCUACGGUGAAUACGUUCCCGGGUCU
rnacentral:rRNA from 1 species